CGUUGGCACUCCAGGUGCGACACUAGCGUGAAAACCCAUCAAGAAUGAUCCUUAGCUAUAAGAUUGAUACUUUGUUUAGAGAUAUAGAGAUGAAAGCAUACCUGCUAGAAGGUUGGGAAUGGUGUACCCGAUUAGAGAGCCUUUUUGACGAAGAACACAUCAGAUUCAAUGGUCGUGGGAGGAUUAGCAGAAAGAGAUCCAAGAAGAAACCUUAAUGUGUGUGUAGUACGAUA